rnacentral:rRNA from 1 species
AUGGAGAGUUUGAUCCUGGCUCAGGAUGAAUGCUGGCGGCGUGCCUAACACAUGCAAGUCGAGCGGCAGCGCGAAUAGUUUACUAUUUGGCGGCGAGCGGCGGACGGCUGAGUAACGCGUGGGAAUCUACCCCAAAGUGAGGGAUAACUGCCCGAAAGGGUGGCUAAUACCGCAUAUGGUCUUCGGAUUAAAGGAUUUAUCUGCUUUGGGAGGAGCCCGCGUCGGAUUAGGUAGUUGGUAGGGUAAUGGCCUACCAAGCCGACGAUCCGUAGCUGGUCUGAGAGGAUGAUC